AGCUAGAACUGUCCAGGGCUUGGGAACCCUGAGACAGUUCGUGAGCUUCGCAACAUUGUGAAGCAAGAAGGUCCCGCCCUUCUCUUUGUCAUGGAAACGAAAAUCAAGGGUAGAAGGGUUUAGAACUUGAAAUCUGUUCUAGGGUUUCAAGGUUGUUUUGCAGUAGAUAGCACUGGUUUAAGUGGUGGCAUCGGCUUGUUUUGGACAAAUGAAGUGCAUGUUGAACUGAAAAACUACAGC
rnacentral:rRNA from 1 species